rnacentral:rRNA from 1 species
UACGUAGGGACCAAGCGUUGUUCGGAUUUACUGGGCGUAAAGGGCGCGUAGGCGGCUUGACAAGUCACUUGUGAAAUCUCCGGGCUUAACUCGGAACGGCCAAGUGAAACUGUCAUGCUAGAGUGCAGAAGGGGGCAAUCGGAAUUCUUGGUGUAGCGGUGAAAUGCGUAGAUAUCAAGAGGAACACCUGAGGUGAAGACGGGUUGCUGGGCUGACACUGACGUGAUGCGCGAAAACCAGGGGAGCAAACGGG